rnacentral:rRNA from 1 species
UAGUCCACGCCGUAAACGAUGUCAACUAGCCGUUGGGAGCAUAUAAGCUCUGAGUGGCGCAGCUAACGCGAUAAGUUGACCGCCUGGGGAGUACGCCGGCAACGGUAAAACUCAAAGGAAUUGACGGGGGUCCGCACAAGCGGGGGAGCAUGUGGUUUAAUUCGAUGAUACGCGAGGAACCUUACCUGGGCUAGAAUGCUUUUGGACAGAUGCCGAAAGGUGUUUUUCUCUUCGGAGACCGAUUGCAAGGUGCUGCAUGGUUGUCGUCAGCUCGUGCCGUGAGGUGUUGGGUUAAGUCCCGCACCGAGCGCAACCCCUAUCCUUAGUUGCCAGCGAGUAAUGUCGGGGACUCUAGGGAAACUGCCUACGCAAGUAGUGAGGAAGGCGGGGAUGACGUCAAAUCAUCAUGGCCCUUACGCCCAGGGCUACACACAUGCUACAAUGGUUGAUACAGAGGGUAGCGACAUAGCGAUAUGAAGCCAAUCUCAAAAAGUCAAUCUC